GGUCACAUCCUUGCUUCACUGUGUACCUUUCCAGACUAGGGAGGCAGUAGCCGUGGGUGCAGAUGUCAGGGCCAGAGAGACGACCAUGAGUUCCAGAGAGUUCAUGGGGCGAGCGAGCCAAAGAGCUGCAGGAGUUUGGCUCUCAAUCUGCUGGUAAAUAUGCUAAUCACACACAGGUCUUUGCCUGUUCUCAGGGACUUAGUAUCUGAGAGAUGGGCAACUUCCUAAGUGGCUGCAAUAAACAUCACUGAGCUCGAACACGAGAGGUGUAAGCCACUCUCACACACAGAACAGACUAUCUCUGGGGAGCCAGAAGGAAUGGCGCUGAUUUGAGGAGAAGCAUGGUCUUCAUUCUGGAAACACCGAGUUCCAGGGCCUCUGUGGAGACCAAUUAUCAUGUGCAGAAGAUAGUAAUGGCUCAAUCAGCUACAGCAAUCCAGACUCCAGAAAGGAGCUGGGCACAGUGAAAUAGCCCUGUAAUCCCAGCACUGAGAAAUCUGAGAUAGGAAGAUCUCAAGUUCAAAGCCAACCUGGGCUACACGGGUCCCUUCUCCUGGCUAGAACUGCAGCCCUGGGAUUUCUGUGCCCUCAUCAGAACAGCAUCGCUGAUGAAAACGUGAAGUGGAGUAAGACAGGUACCCCAAAGAGAAAACACACAAAGAAAAAAGAAAACAGGCCCAAGGCUAAAGCCCAGGGUUCAGAAGUAGGUGUGGUGUCUGUGCCCCAAGGCCCCGAAGGCUAACUGGGA